rnacentral:lncRNA from 1 species
AAACUAAUGACUACAAUGUUCUUCAUUAUAACACUGGAUGCUCUGUCGAUUCUUUUUCUCGUUGCCAUUUUCUCUUUCAGUUAAAUCCUUGAACUAGAAAUAUCUACAUUGAGAUAUUUGUUUUCCUAUUUUAUUCCAUUUUCAAAUUUAAAAAAAUGUAUAAAGUUGCACCAUUAUUAGUUCCUAACCAAUGGUAUUAUUGCAAAAGUUUCGACUAUUUAAGAUCGC